rnacentral:ncRNA from 1 species
GUUUGAUCGCAGUUUUAUUAUCACGCAACGGCAUCACAGAUUGCACUGAACCUUUGCCGAAAGUUUGCGUUCCGACGAUUUUGGCACGUUUAUAAUCCUGCAAAGCACCGGCUACGAUUUCGGAGGCGGAGGCAGAACCACUAUUAACUAAAACGACCAUUUUGACUUUUUUGACUAACGGAUUUAAGUUUUUCAGCGGAUUAUUUGCCAAAUUGCCGUCCAAAAUAUAAUCUUCGGGUUUAGCAAAUAAUUCUUGUUUAGCACUUUCAGUUCUGCCGUCUGUGGAGACAAUUUUGACGUUUUCCGGCAAAAACGCCGCAGAAACGCCGAUCGCUGCAGUUAAUAAACCGCCUGGAUCAUUGCGUAA